AACGUAGGACGCGAGCGUUAUCCGGAGUUACUGGGCGUAAAGCGCGGGCAGGCGGUCUGACAAGUCUGAUGUGAAAUCUCCGGGCUUAACCGGGAGAGGCCAUUGGAAACUGACAGGCUGGAGGGCAGUAGAGGUAGGCGGAAUUCCGGGUGGAGUGGUGAAAUGCGUAGAUAUCGGGAGGAACACCAGUGGCGAAGGCGACUACCUGGCCUGUUCUUGACGCUGAGGCGCGAAAGCUAGGGGAGCAAACGGG
rnacentral:rRNA from 1 species